rnacentral:lncRNA from 1 species
GUCGAUUUAGUGGGGGCCUUUUGGCUUUUUUUUUUUUACCCCCCCCCCCUUUUUCCUUUUCCUAGUUCGGAAGCGGCGCCGUCUGUAAGGGCCGAAGUUAGGGUUAAGCCCCGCUCGCCCGCUACCUUCUCUCCGUGAGCAAAGGGAGCAGAUGGAAAACUCUGCGAAGGGCACAGAGCUCUGUGCGCCCUGCUGUCCGUGAGGAGGCGCUCGGGUGUUCUCGCCUGCGGCUCGCAUCGCACUGACCUGGAUUGGGCCGGGGCCUUCAGGAAGAGAAGACGCCACAUUGCUAGGCCCCCUGCACGCCGGUAGUUUGUCUUGGACCAAACUGGCCGGCUCAGAUGACUAUCUCAGUGUAACAGGGCAGCCGAGCAAAGUCCAUCCCCAGCCUCCCUCCACCUCUCUUCCAGCCCCGUUGACAGGACCUCUCUGCUCAUGCGCUGGGUGCUGUGUUCGGUGGCACUGCGAAAAGAAAAGAGACGCUCCGGCAGAAGGACUAUGUCAUGCGUACGUCAUGGAUGAAGGCAAGUAAGCUGGGGGCGGACAAGCACCGUUCAGCAGUUCCUGCACAGUGAGGCCAGUGCUCUUUGCUUCUCACCUGCAAUGACGCCACCGGCCAAGCCGCCGUGCUCAGCUGCCGCUUUGCUUUCCUGCGCCCAUAUUGCCUGGCUGCCACUGUAGCCCAGGGUGAAAGCUCUGGCCAAAUAAUAAUCUGUGGCUGCCUCUGCCAAGCAAACUCUGCUCUGCAACUCUGAACAGACGCCAGCACCUCCAGGACACCUGCCUCGUUCUUCUUUCAGUGCUUUGAUUCCUUGUGCUUGCGCUGCCUAUUGGGCUGCUCAAGUUAUACCAAAACACUGCCAGUGCCGACAGUCUGGACUUGCAUGUAAUUCAGAAACAGGUUUGUACGUCCAUCUGCUGACCCAUUUUUUUUCUCCAUCCUCAUAAUUAGCUAGACGGGCCUAGUUUCACUGCAUGUUUAACACAAAAUGUUUUUCAGUCAAGUCUAUUAUUUUCCAGAAAGAGAGCAUGUGUGUGAGCUGACAUGUAGAUGUAAAGGUGUGCAGCAGGGAAAGUUAAUGUCUCUGCACAGAUGGCGAGAAACACCCUACCAUUCAGCCAUGCAGAAGAUAUACUUGAUUACG